rnacentral:rRNA from 1 species
AUUGAACGCUGGCGGCAGGCCUAACACAUGCAAGUCGAACGAGUGGCGGACGGGUGAGUAAUGUCUGGGAAACUGCCUGAUGGAGGGGGAUAACUACUGGAAACGGUAGCUAAUACCGCAUACCAUCAGAUGUGCCCAGAUGGGAUUAGCUUGGUGGUGGGGUAACGGAGCACAAAGGCGACGAUCCCUAGCGGGGCUGAGAGGAUGAAAGGUCACACUGGAACUGAGACACGGUCCAGACUCCUACGGGAGGCAGCAUUGGGGAAGAUUGCACAAUGGGCGCAAGCCUGAUGCAGCCAUGCCGCGUGUAUGAAGAAGGCCUUCGGGUUGUAAAGUACUUUCAGCGGGGAGGCGUUACCCGAAGAAGAAGCACCGGCUAACUCCGUGCCAGCAGCCGCGGUAAUUC